ACCCGAGUCACCGACAAGGAGGAGGGAGCGCUUAGACGAUUGCCCGGACCCGCGCACGCGCAACUGGAGCCAGAGCCUCCUCCAGGCCACGCCCCCAUCGGCUGCAAGAUGCCGACAGCCACACUGCGCAGGCGCCUUCCAGGAGGCCGAGCUAUCCCGCGCGUUGCCGUCACUCAGGAUAGCAACUAGAGGCUCUGAGCUCUGGUGCAGAGAAAUGCUUCCUUCUCUGCGGGUCGCCAUGGCAACGGAACUGUGUUUUGGAACCCGAAGGUUUACCUUGGGUAGAUGCUAGUUCCUAGGAGAGACUGCAUUAAAAUUGGAGCUCAGUGGAUAGCUUGAGUUCAAAACCAAAGAAAGGAAACGAGUUAGUAUCAUCACUUAACGUGUUUACAUAUUAAUAAGGCAAGAAAAAAAAUCACCCGGUGUAGUGCCACAAGCCUUUGAUCCCAGCUCUCGGGAGUCAAGAGGGAAGCAGAUCUCUAAGUUCAAGCUCACCCUAGUCUACAUAGAGAGUUCCAGGUCAGCCAGUGCUACCAGAGGAGGGUUUCUCAGGCUUGGGUUACUCCCUUGCGACUAGACUGUGGGUAGCCACAGCUGCUGUGAGUUCCUAAGUGUAACAGUCAAGUCAUGUUUAAAGGACAGCACUUUACCCAUCCUGGAGCUCUUAUGGUCUUUUCACCCCCUCUCCUGUAAAGUUCCCUGAGCCUUGGGGAGCAGGUGUUGUAUAGAUGGCCCAUCUAUUGCUGAGUGCCCGGUCACUUCUCAGAACUUUGAACAGACAUGAGUCUGCAUUAACCACCAUCCACUGCGCCAUUGGAGAGUAUAGGAUGAUGUCAUUACGCAGGUGAAGGCAAGUACAAGAUAGAACGAGGCCUGCCAUUGGAUGAGAAGGAAGGAUGGGCGGGAGAAAAGACGAGGAACAAUACACCUUCCAGAAUCUUCAACCUCAAAUCACAUCACAUGGGGGAUUAGGUCUUCGGCGCGUGAAUUUGACAGUGGGAAGAAAUUCAAUCCAGAGAAAAUAAAGAGGAGCCAGGAUACAGAGGACCAUGAAGAUUAGACUUCCACCCCCACUCUGCCGCAAUAGGAAAUCCUCACCAGACAAAGGAAUAACCAUUUUUGUUCUUAAAGACUUAGGGCCAAUAGAGAAAAAGUCAAACAAAUUUCCCAAAGGAAGUUAGGAACCAUCAUGGUACUUUAUUUUUAACUGGAAUCAAUGCCCAACGUGUUAAAGCACUGGCCUUGGGGAGUUGUAGUGUUAAGAGCUCACGUAGUACCGUGGCCCACUGGGAUCCACAUGACUCCUGUCGGUGAGUGGUGAAGCACAGCAGCUCCUGCAGUUGAGUGCCUGGGCUGAACUCUCCACAGCCUAGCCUUGUAACCCUGGGCAAGGAAAGACCAAGGUGGUGUUAGGAUUACCAGACACCGCCAAGUGCUCACUUGGUAGGUGCUAGCUAUGCCUAGCAAAAAAAAAAAACUAGAAGGGGGAGGAGGAAGAUUUGGAAGCUAGAGUGCUAAAUUCAGACCUCCUUUGCAGAGUUUUCUCUCUCUGCUACUUUUCCUUAAUAUAUUCAAAGUCAUCAGUAGAGCAGGGAAGGGAAGAAAGGUAGGGGAGGAAAGAAGGAGAAGGAGAGGAGCUGGAGGAGAGGAGAGAGAAGAUGACUGAGACCAAAUGACUUCGUACCUGCCACUGAGACUCUGUCUGCUCUGUCUGCAUGCUGACUUUAACAAUUUGGACUGGUUUCAAGGGGAGAUGGACAGGCUGUACACUGCAGAACAAGUGUAUCAUAACCUUGGAGGCGUUCACAAGCUGGUAGAUGAGGCAGGAAGGCCACAAAGCCAUUUUGGCUUCAUUACUACUCAUUAUUAGGAAUCAUCAUGGUGCUUUAUUUCUAACAUUAAUGUAAGUUUAAAAACACAGGAAGUAAUUCUGUUCAGUGUGUUUGGGUACAAACAGACACAGACUUGCUAUCCAGACAUGAAUAAGGUAGGUAUCCAGCAAGCUUGAGAGAAGAGUGUCUUUCAGGAAAGUUCAGGGACUCGGUCCUAGGAAAGGGGUGCAAAGGACAUCCGUUGGAUAUGUAAUGUCUUAUUCUUUUUAUUAAGCCCUGAAGCAAUAGCAAAUAUCAGUACUUUAAAAUUUGGGGAAGUGGAUACAGCAGUGUUAUAUUUUUCUCUUCACUCUGUAUAAAAAAAAUACUUCCUAAAGCUUUAAAACAUGAACAGAAAGAGCAUGUCCUCUGUUCCUAAAUCCAUCCGAACUCCAACCCAUUGUACAAAUAGUUUCUUUGUUCAGCUAAACCACACACACACACACACACACACACACACACACACACACACACACACACACAAAUAAUUUUCAGGAAUGCACACCCAUCUCGUAUCCACCUUAAAAGGAGAUUUUGUGACUAUUAAAAUGGACUAUAUGUUGGUGAAUGUUCACCAAAAUACACUUAAAAUUCUGAACCGUCUGUAUUGAACUGGGUUUGUAUUUCACAUCAUUAAUGGGCAACACUAACACCACGUUACAUCUGGGGAAAGUGUUUUGUGGUUAGCACGUUGCUGGCAUAGAAGCUGGCAGUAGACAAGCAGUUGGUUUUAUCUCGGAGGCCGAGUCCUGAUGAAAGAUGGUGGCUGCUUAGGAAAAUUCAGGGGAAAGACAGUGAAGUCAAAUAUGGACCAAUCCAGCAGCAGAGACUGACUAGGGAGCAGUGUCAAGGGCAGGGUAGUGCAGUGGUAUUCUAGGUGGCAUGCAUAGUCCCAAGAGAUUUUUGAUUCUCUUUCUGCCACUCUCUCGGACCCCUUUCUGUCUCCCUCCCCCUAUGCCAUGUAUCUUGUGCUUUCCAAGAUUUUAUUCUUGCUCAUGGUGAGUCCAUGUGCUGAGGAGACAUUCCCACCCCCACCAGGUCAGAUGUGACUCCUCUUUCUCCCUACAGUGGGAAUGUGGCAUUUGUCUCUAAGUAUUCCAAUUCUUUGUUCCCCUUCUAUUAGGCUGCAGUGAGACUGUGGGCUUUGAAAGGACACGGGGAAUAUUGAUCUAAGCACUCCUGGCUUGUGGCGCAUAGUAAGCAAUCAAUAAAUGUUUGUUAAAUGAAGGAAUGAUUUAAUGAAUGCUGUCCUCGUUUGGCAGACAAGGAAACAAGCCGAGAAGUUGAGAGUUUUCUCAAGGUUACCUUUCCUUCAGAAGUAGGAUAGACAGAUAUGUUCUCAGCAUUUCAGCCAGCUCCGCCCCCUUCUUUACUUGUCUGCAGCAAAGCUUCUUGGAAAUUCUCCAUGCUGUUCUGUGUCCUUUCUAUUUCUCCGAAGACUCCCCCAAUCAGCUAUCCAACUCUCCUAUUUACUGUCACCGUGGCUUCUGCACAUCUAAGUAUGGUGGAUGAGCCUUGGGACUCAACUUUCUUUGAUCCUUCCAUUGUCUUUGAUACAGUUGAUUUCUUGCUUGCCACAGAUAAUAGUACUUUACUUGGAGUCCCAAACACCAGCCCUAAGUCUCUUCUCCUCCUUACUGACUCUCUAGUCCAGUCUUCUUCCCUCCCGCUAUGCAGCCCAGACUAACCUAAGACUUGCUAGGUAGCCCAGGCUUGUUUCAAACUCUUGGUCUUCCUGCUUCAACCACCUGAGUGUUGGGAGCAUAGACACAUACCCUAGAGCUGGCUCUGAUUUCUUAGUAUUAGAGCGAACCAGUGCCCAUUCCGUGGCCCUUGUCUUAUGGAUUUUACUGCUGUGAUAAAACAAUAUGACCCAAAUCAACUUGUAGAGGAAAGAGUUUAUUCCAGCUUAUCAUAAUCCAUCACCGAGGGAAGCCAGGGCAGGAACUCAAACAGGGCAAGAAGCCAGAGGCAGAAGCCAUGGACCAGCGUUGCUUACUGGCUUGCUCAGCCUGCUUUCUUAGAGGACCACCAGCUGCAGCAUAGGGAUAGAACUGUCCACAAUGGGCUGGCGGUCCCUCCCACACAAAUCAUCGAUCAAGAAAAUGCAUUAUAGUCCAAUGUGGUGGGGGAAUUUUCUCAAUUAAGGUCUCCUCUUCCAAAAUGACUGUAGCUUAUGUCAAGUUAACAUAAAGCUAGCCAGCAUAGCCCUCUUCCUUGUGCCUUCCCUGAGAGACCUCAUCCAUUCACAAGCCUUAAAAACCACCUAAGCACCAGUGACCACAAAGUGUGUCUUUAGCUUAGAUCUGUCUUUGAUCAUCCAGUCUCUUCUUGCAGUAUCCAACUUCCUACUCAGUAUCUUCAUUAGGAUGCUUUCUUGGUCUGUUUUGUGUUGGUAUAAAAGAACUGAGGAUAGCAGGAGGCUCUGAAACUCCAGAGCCCAUCCCCAGUGAUGCACUUUCUCCAGUAAGGCCACCCAUCCCAAGUGUCCUCAAACAUCAUCACCAACUGUGGACCAAGUAUUCAAAUGUGGGAGAAUAUGAGGGAAUUAUAGUCUAAGACACAUGGUUAUGGUACCUACUUGGUGAGGGCCUCAUACUGCCUCAACUCAGUGAAAAACAGAAGGGGUCAUGUGAUAAAAAUGUGAAAGGUGAAUUUUCUUUGUCACAACCCUGAAGCUACUAAUACAAGUCCACAAGAAUAAGAAAUCAUUUGUAUAAGAAAAGCGUGGAUCCAUUCAAGACCUGUGUUCCACCGGGUAUGUAGUAGUUUGAAUGAGCUGUCCCUCGUGUUCUCCCACAUUUGAAUACUUGGUCCACAGUUGGUGAUGAGGUUGGAGGAGGCUUAGGAUGGGAGGCCUUCCUGGAGAAAGUGCAUCACUUGGGGUGGGCUCUGAGGUUUCAAAGCCUCCUGCCAUCCCCAGUUCUUCCCUUCUGCUUUCUGUCUGUAGUUCAAGAUGAGUUCACUCAGCUUCUGCUGUAGUGUCCCUGCCUCACCAUCUUCACCAUCUUCAGUGUAGGCCCAUAGGCAUAUACCAGCUAUGUCUGGCAUCAACUCAAUUUAAGAUGCCAGGGAAGUAGCUGCUAUGAUUUGAAUAUGAUCCGUUACUGCCUAAACUUAUAUUGAGUCUUAUUAGUUCUUCCAUGGGAAUUGAGGGAUGGGACCCUGCAUUAGUUUCUUAUUCUGUAGCCUACUAAAGCAUCGGGACCAAGACAGCUUGUAGAAGGAAGAGUUUAUUUUAGGCUUAGACUUCCAAAUGGACAAGAACACCAUCAUAUCAGGGAAUCACGAUGGUAAGCAUGGGCAGGAAGCAGGAACAUUACAGGUUCGAGGCCAGCGUGGGCCACAUAGAGACUUGAAUGCCAACCUGAGCAUUAUAGUAAGAUUCUGUCUGAAAAAUGUAAAGGCCAGGAGGGCCUAAAAUGGUACAGCACUUGCAAGACCCUGUUUCUUCAUACACAGACACACAGACACACAGACACACAGACACACACACACACACACACACACACACACACAGAGAGAGAGAGAGAGAGAGAGAGAGAGAGAGAGAGAGAAAUCUAAAUGCAUGUUCCUCUUUCACCUACAGCCUCCUAUGUAUCAACUACUAGAGAUUGGAUGAGAUAGUAACUCUCUCCCAGUUGGCCACACUUUGCUGUCAUUACACAUACUAGUGCAUUUGGAACAUUUAUUUUAAACUAUGGCUGUCCCACUAAUGCCCUUUCUUAAUCGUGAUUUUUAAGAUUUUUAUUUUAGCUCCCAGGUGCUAAGUCUGCAAACAUUUUGAAAUGUGAGUUUGUUCAGUCCCGUUCAUAUGGACAACACUUACCACAGUAAAAAAGAUUUAGAAAUGAGAGUAACACGGCUUUAGUUCUCUCCUUGACCUUUCUCUUCGCCUCUUGGCUCAUGAAAUCCAUCACUGAAGUUUUCUGCUUUUGCUUCGUUGUGUUUCUGCUGUGUCUUGCUGAGCUCACGUUCUUAGUAAUUUCCUCUAAGCUCGAAGCCAUGGCAGCAAAGUCUUCCAAGGCUCCUCAGGUUCCUUCUCCUCCAUCUCCCAUCUCUCUUUGGUCUGCUCUGCCCGGGUUUUUUUGUUUGUUUGUUUGUUUGUUUGUUUGUUUGUUUUAAAGUCUGCUCUUUCUCAAGGGGACCACGUUGUUCUGUUCAUCUGACUUGUGUUUCACCCCAACAGCUCUGCUCAGUUCCUUUUACUCUGUCAAGGGGAAAACAGUGAAUUCCUAUUCUCUUUGGCUAAGCCCUUCAUUCCUUCCAGUGAGUAUUUUGAUGCCUGGAGAUUGCUUUAUAUCUGCCCCUUAUAGCCCAAGGGCAGAAACGUGGGAAGAGCUCAGCAAACACCCUGAAGCCUUUGGUGUAAUUUACCCUCACCACCCCCCAAGAUGUUAGUGAUGUCUACUUUUGAGAUAUCCCCUUGUCUUAGUAUCAACUUGACACAGCUUAUUGUCACAAGACAAGAGAGUCUCAAUUGCAGGUCCAGUGGGCCUGCAAGCACGUCUGCCAAGGACUGUCUUGAUUGCUAAUGGAUGCAGGAGAGUCUGGCCCACUGCGGGAGGUUCUAAUCCCUAAGCAGGUGGCCCUACUGCUGAGCCAGCAAGUUUGCUUUGCAUGGUUUCUGCUCCAGGUUCCUCCCCUGACUCUCCUCAGUGACAGACAAUGACCUAUAAUUUGUAAGCCAAAUAAACCCUUUCUCCCUUAAGUUGAUUUCUGUCAGGGUAUUUUAGCUCAGCAACAGAAAUGAAGCUGGGAUGUCCAGCAACAUUGUAGAUAGCUUAUGCAAGUGUAUCUCAUGAUGUUCACACAAGGAUGUGCUAACUUCAUGACAGAUUUUUUAAGAAUGUAUCACUUUAGAUAUGACUGCAUAUAUACAUACAUGCACACACACGUGUAUAGGUGUCAAUGUCUUCUAGCAUUCUUAGGGACAUAAGAAGGGGGUGAGGGGGUGAUGGAUUGUGGUGACCCCAACUACACACAAUGACAGGACAUGCGAAGCGAGCUUUGGAUUUUUUUGGAGGGAGAGCAAUCUCACUAAUGCUUUUCUGACCUGUUCUCUACUGUUUUCUCAGCAAACAGCACAAGCAUCCUUAACCCAGAGAGGCUUGUGUUGUGCUUGGCAUUUGAUAGUAAAUGUGGACUGCUUAGGAAGCAUCCCUACGUGCAGUCUGGAAGGAAGACACUCCCUAGGAUGAGUGAACCAAGGAAAGCGGGUCAUACUGAAUGUGCUCAUAUCGUGUGCCCAUAACCUCCUAAACACAGUGGCUGAAACAGAGACAGACGCUGCUCUUCACCAACUCAGAGACUCUCCCCUGCAAGAGCUCUAAAUUGUAGUUCAGAGACUUGCAUUGCUCUGCCAUGGGCUUGAAAUAAAAAAUAAUUGGAAGCUAUGGGGAAACCACCAUCUUCUGCUGUUGACUGAUGAGUAGAAAUGGCUGGAUGAGGAAGAGAAAAAUAAGAGACGGAGACACACAGAAAGAUUGGCUGUGGUUCCUCCCCUGGGUUUGGAGAAAUUCAAUAAAAGCAUUAGGAUUCUGUCGCUCUGAA